rnacentral:tRNA from 1 species
UAGAGACUUAGGUUAACAUAAACCGAAGGGCUUCAAAGCCUUAA